GACAGAGGGUGCGAACGUUGUUCGGAAUUACUGGGCGUAAAGCGCGUGUAGGCGGCCAACUAAGUCCGACGUGAAAUCCCCAGGCUUAACCUGGGAACUGCGUCGGAUACUGGAUGGCUUGAAUCCGGGAGAGGGAUGCGGAAUUCCAGGUGUAGCGGUGAAAUGCGUAGAUAUCUGGAGGAACACCGGUGGCGAAGGCGGCAUCCUGGACCGGCAUUGACGCUGAUGAGCGAAAGCCAGGGGAGCAAACGGG
rnacentral:rRNA from 1 species